AGGGGAAGAUUGAGGAGAUUAGAGCCUGGAAGGAGAGGCCCAGCUCGAGUCCUCAGAUUGCUCGUCUCACACACUUGGUUUCCAUUCCAGAAUUCUCAGAGUCACGCCGGUGUGUCCUUGAGCAGAGCGCCCCGUAGCCUUCACAUCUCCACAUCGGUCCCCAUGUGGCUAUUGUUGAGGCCCACGGAGGAGCCAACGCCACCUCCCUCCCCCUCCCGCUUCCUGGAGGAGCACAGGCAGGUAGAGGGGCUUCUGCCUAAUCGUGAGGCUGUUUGUUCAGUGUUGGGAAAACAGGCCAGCAGCACAGGGC